CAAUACUGAAGAGUCCCACGAUAGGACGAAACGGCCGUCCAGUGC
rfam:Schistosoma haematobium scaffold1011_7, whole genome shotgun sequence.